ACCAGGGCUGCUGGAGAAGGAGGGCCGCUGGCUGCCAACGUGCAGGGACAGCAAGCUCCACAAUCAUCUGGAUGAUGGCGUCCUCUGCAAGAGAGCGCACGCCCCGUCACGCCUCCCGAGCACGCAGGCAGCCCGCCCUCGGUGACCCGGCUCCUGACGUCAACUUGAACUUCCCGUCUUAAGGGAGGGGCCUCUUCACACAGCAGCUCAGGCCCCCAAAGUGGGGAAAGCACCACCCCGCCGGGGCCGUCCUGAGAGAGGGCCGGAAGAGCCACAGGGGAAGGGUGCUGUGCCAAAGCAUGGCAUUAUAGGCAGGAUUUCAGGUCAGCCUUCCAGGCUGUGCCUCCCCCGUUUCCUCUGGACUUCACACAUCUGUGAAUAUCUGCUUCGGGCCUGGUCAGCUGUGUGACCCUGGAAGGCUGUCGGGCCAUCAGAUGGGAGGCCAGGCUUGAAAAAACUUGGCAAGGCUAAUGCUGAUCUUCCAACCCGCAAUAUUCCAGUGGGGAAAGGGUGGCUACCCGGCCUGUCGAAGGUGCAGGCCGUCAGCAGGCAUGGCACAGAGAGCCCACCGUGGUGACGUCUCAGCCACACUCCCAGUCCUUAUGGAGACGCCCCAAAGGACGGUAUCCACAGGGCUCCUCUGAUACCCCUGUCAGUCUCCUCAAGGACCCUGGUCUGGCUGCUAACGAUCAGUUUACAAGAAAGGAUUUGCAAACAGCACUCUCCCCCACACUUCUCUCGUUCUCCCCCACACUUCUCUCGCACUUGGAAAUCCUGCUCUGCUUUUGUUCCUUCAUUCCGUCUACCAGCGGGUCCCCUGACCUGUGAGAAAAUGACUCACGUGUACAAUAACUAGACAUCCUGCAAAAUAACUAAGCAUCUUUGGUUAUCCUGUGACAGAUGUAUUUCCUAUCUUUCAAAAUAUGUCCUCGG